UGGGGAAUCUUCCGCAAUGGGCGAAAGCCUGACGGAGCAAUGCCGCGUGAAUGAAGAAGGCCUUCGGGUUGUAAAGUUCUGUUGAGAAGGAAGAAAGAUCUAAGAGUUAAUAACUCUUAAGUUUGACGGUACUUUUCGAGGAAGCCCCGGCUAACUACGUGCCAGCAGCCGCGGUAAUACGUAGGGGGCAAGCGUUGUCCGGAAUCACUGGGCGUAAAGCGCAUGUAGGCGGGAUAUUAAGUCAGGUGUGAAAACUACAGGCUCAACCUGUAGAUUGCAUUUGAAACUGGUAUUCUUGAGUAUUGGAGAGGAAAGUGGAAUUCCUAGUGUAGCGGUGAAAUGCGUAGAUAUUAGGAGGAACACCAGUGGCGAAGGCGACUUUCUGGCCAAAAACUGACGCUGAGAUGCGAAAGCGUGGGGAGCAAACAGG
rnacentral:rRNA from 2 species